rnacentral:rRNA from 1 species
AUAUCAAUAAGCGGAGGAAAAGAAACUAACAAGGAUUCCCCUAGUAACGGCGAGUGAAGCGGGAACAGCUCAAUUUUGAAAUCUCGCGGGUUUCCCGUGCGAAUUGUAGUUUCAAGAAACGUUUUCGGGGGCGACUUGGGUUCAAGUCCGUUGGAACGCGGCGCCAGAGAGGGUGAGAGCCCCGUUGGACCCGACGCUCGCUCCUGUACGAUACGUUUUCAAAGAGUCGGAUAGUUUGGGAAAUGCU